GGGGAUGUAUAGUUUUGACGUGACCGCUCUUUAACAACUGCAGGCUAUCUUUAACUAAUAGAUAUCAAACAGAGUUAAAAAAUAACUGUCGUUUCUGAAAUACGCAGUACAGUUGCCGCCCUCCGCGAGGCUCGCGACAAUUUUGUCGCCAUGCUCCAAGGACGGCAGGCAGCUCCAGCUCAGCUUUACGCUUAAACUGGCAUUCAUGAGUCUUUUUUCACUGGCGAAAGCUCAUGGGUGAAAACCUAGUCAGUGUGACAGUUAAUGGUUGCAGGUCGCUGUUAACUUAAGAAUUUUGACCUGGAUGGAGUAAGUGCGGUUGGUUUACUCACCACUAACUCUAAAUCUAAAAGUAAACUAUGCCUGUAGAGGUUGUUUGAUUGCGUGUUUGCGGACAGGGGUUCAUUGCCCCUCAUCUCCACCC
rnacentral:tmRNA from 1 species